AAGUCGUAACAAGGUCUCCGUAGGUGAACCUGCGGAGGGAUCAUUACCGAGCGACGGUCCUCCCGGGGCUUCCCUCCGGGAGGAUCGAAUCUCCAACCCCAUGUUAUCUGACCCUGUUGCCUCGGGGGCGACCCGGACGCUUCGGCGUUGGGUGCCCCCGGUGGACCCCAUCAACACUGCAUCUGUGCGUCCGAGUCAAAUGAUAAAUCAAUCAAAACUUUCAACAACGGAUCUCUUGGUUCUG
rnacentral:misc_RNA from 1 species